GUUUCAGUAGUUCAAGGGAUAGAACACGGGGCCCAUAAAGCACAAGUACGGGUUCGAUUCCCGUCCGAGACU
rfam:Haemonchus contortus, ISE/inbred ISE, WGS project CAVP01000000 data, contig: Hcontortus_36003